rnacentral:rRNA from 1 species
UGGCGGACGGGUGAGUAACGCGUGGGUAACCUGCCCUGUACAGGGGGAUAACAGUUAGAAAUGACUGCUAACACCGCAUAAGCGCACGGUAAGGCAUCUUAGUGUGUGAAAAUAUUCAUAGGUAUACGAUGGUUCCGCGUCUGAUUAGCUAGUUGGUGGGGUAAUGGCCUACCAAGGCAACGAUCAGUAGCCGGCCUGAGAGGGUGAACGGCCACAUUGGGACUGAGACACGGCCCAAACUCCUACGGGAGGCAGCAG